GGGGGUUCCAGAAGAAUACUGAUGCUUCGGAAGAGAUUUUCAUCAUUUUCUCCACCUUCAGCCUCUCCAUAAAUAAGAGCUUCAGCUGCAAUCCCAGCAAAUAGAACCAUGCAGUACCUGUCAAAUGUGGUACCACUUAACUGGCCUACAGCAAGCUCAUUUUCAAGUUUUUCAUCCCAAAACUGUGUUCCUGCCUGUCCUUGAAUGCCCAUCUGCAUUGCAACAAUUGGGUCUAAAAUUACACCACGGAUUGGACAACCCAUUAAGUAUGCAACAAGGAGAUGGCCUGCUUCAUGAACACAAAUUCGACGCUUGUAGGGAGGCCAGAAGCUGGAGAUUUGUGCUAAGCAGGAACCACCAAGUAAUAUAGCAUCUAGCAUGGCAAGCCCCAAAACUGCAGCAAUGUUAGGCCUAAUAUCUAUUCCUUGGUUCAGCAGAAACGUGACUCCAGCAAAGGAUGUUGCCAAAAGAAAGCUAGAUGUUCCAGAAAGACCCCACUUCUUUGGCGAAAGUUUGGUCACAUCUAAACCAGUUGAAUACUUUAAGACAGUUGGUGUGACAUCGCGUGGCCCUUCCAAAACAAUAGCGUUGUAUCUGGCGAAAUUAGGCAAGAGACCUUUGUCCUUGAGAAAAGCAUAAGCACUUCCAACAAGCCUCAAAUCAUCGGCAUUCAAGCAUGUAUCUAAAACCUGCCACUCUCUAUCGAUUGGGGACAAAUCCGACUUACCGAUUGACGAGUCUUCUCUCA
rnacentral:misc_RNA from 1 species